GACGAACGCUGGCGGCGUGCUUAACACAUGCCAGUCGAACGGUGACGCGCCUUCCUUUUUGGUGGGCGUGGAUGAGUGGCGAACGGGUGAGUAACACGUGAGUAACCUGCCCCUUUCUUCUGGAUAACCGCAUGAAACUGUGGCUAAUACGGGAUAUUCUGUGUCUGUCGCAUGAUGGGUUUGUGAAAGCUAUUGCUUCGGUGGGGGAUGGGCUCGCGGCCUCUCAGCUUGUUGGUGGGGUGAUGGCCUACCAAGGCGGUGACGGGUAGCCGGCAUGAGAGGGUGGGCGGUCACGCAGGUGAUGAGCCACGGACCAGACUCCUACGGGAGGCAGCAGGGGGGAUUAUUGCACAAUGGGCGCAAGCCUGAUGCAGCGACGCCGCGUGAGAGAUGGAGGCCUUCGGGUUGUGAACCUCUUUCGCGAGUGAAGCAGGCCUGCCUCGUAUGUGGGUGGGUUGACGGUAGCUGGAUAAGAAGCGCCGGCUAACUACGUG
rnacentral:rRNA from 1 species